rnacentral:snoRNA from 1 species
ACCCUCUCAGGGUUGCACCUGGAGAGUUUCCAGUACUCUACCAGUCUUGGCUAAGGGAGGGAGAGUCAAGCAGAGGCAUAUCCCUUCCAUUCCUAGCUUGGGUAGUGGCUAACAAGUGGAAGGCAAUCUGCUACAACU